UCUGAUAUGGCAGAAAUUAUGCAAUGAAUUUAAGCUUCAAAGAUAAAGUUUUUUAAACUUUUAUUAGAA
rnacentral:tRNA from 1 species